AAACAAAACAACAACAACAAAACAAACAAGCAAACAAAAAGACUGCUUUUCAGUUAAGCACUUCCUGCUCUUCCGAAGGACCCCAGUUUGGUCCCCAGCACCCAUGCCAUGUGGCUCCCAACCUCCUCUAAUUCUUACUCCAGAAAACUGGACAGGUUCUUCAGUUGUGCACCUGUGUGCCCACAGAGACCCUUAAAUGGCUUGUGUUUCACAAGAUUUCUUUUCUCUUGUGCUUCCUUGGCAUUCUCUCCAUGUCUGCCCCCCCCCCCCACACACACACAUAGGCUGCAGUGUGGCGGCAGCUCUGCCUUCUUCACUCCGAUUUGACUUUCUCAAAAGGCAGGCGUUUUCAUCUUUAACGUUGUCACUUGGUUCAACAAGGGCUUGAAAGACCCCUCACUCAAAAACAAGCUAAGGGAAAGAGGAGGCAGGGUUUAGUUUCUAAACCAACAAGCACCCAGAUGUUCCUUGAGAUAAGAACAAACUCCAGGCAGGACAUCCUUCCAUUACUCUAGGAAGACAGAUGGCCCCCACUUCCCCAAACCCUCCCAAAAUGGAAUUUCCCCCCAAAAAGCACCGUAUGUGACCUUUUCUUUGUCCAAUCAAAAAUGGACUCAUGUCUUAUGAUAAUCUUGUAGUUUUUGCCUUUAAAAGGAGCUUGCUAUAGCUGAUCGGGGCUUUUUCUGCCUAGCCUGACUGAGGAGCCCCUUUGUGCAAACGCAGAAUAAAAUCCUCUUGGCUUGUUGCAUCUACUGGUUUGGAGUCUGAGUCUGUGGAGUGUCCACCUGGAUAUGGUGGAAUCCCAGGGCCUGGGGUCCAACAUAUGGGGGCUCAUCCAGGAUUAGCGACUGCUUCCCCAGACUCAGUUCCAGGACCCAUUGGAGACCCUCAAGGUGGACGAGAUUGCUGCCUGGAUCCACGCCUCACACGUCAAACGAGGACCACCUCAGGACAGCAGCACCCCAGACAAGCCAGCCAGAUGGAAGCUACAACGCACUCAAAACCACUCAAGAUAAGACUUUCAAAAACUGCUUGAUGCUUUGCUUACUCCUAAGCCUCGCAGCCUUAAAUGAGGGCAACCCCACACCCCUCAACAGUUGACCUGGCAGAUAUACUCCCAAACGGGAGAAAUAGUCUGGUCCAUUACUAAGAGAAUGCCACCAGGCACCUGGUGGCCUACUCUCACCCCAGACUUCUGUCAGUUGGCCGCAGGGUUGGAUACCUGGGACCUUCCCAUGAUAGGGGCCCACGAAAUUCAAAAGAGAAUGAACACCGUCCUACCACCCAUAGGGAAGACUUGGCCGCAGGGCUGCCAAGAUCCUAGGGCUAGAUGUCUUCUGGCACAGAUGGACUUCUAUGUUUGCCCCAGACAAGGGCAGCCUAGGGACUCGGGAUGUGGAGGCUAUGGGGAAUACUUCUGUACCAAAUGGGGAUGCGAGACCACGGGGGACGCAUACUGGAAGCCCAGCUCAUCCUGGGACUUGAUUGAGGUGCAUCGUAAUUACUCCCGCCCCCCCCUUGGGUCGUUACGGUUGUGACCACUCUUCCAGGUGGAGCCCCUGGUCUUGCAACACCGCCACAUGUCUCCCCCUGGCAAUUACCUUCAUAUCCCAGGGUAAGCAAGAUUACACUCAAUGGCUGAGCGGAAAAACCUGGGGGCUGAGAUGGUACAUGCCAUGGGAAGACAGAGGGGUUACCCUUCAAGAUACGCCUACAGAUAGAUGUCCCUGACCCCAAAGCCAUAGGGCCCAACCCAGUUCUGGGAGAACAGGGGGCUCCCAGGGCGGAGCCCAGCCAUGCAAAGGCCCUCGCAACAGUACCAAGAGCUCAGAACAGCUAUGACUGAAGAGUUAAAGGCCCUAGAAAAGUCUGUCACCAGGCUGGAGGAGUCUUUAGCCUCGCUGGCCGAGGUAGCUCUCCAAAAUCGCUGGGGGCUCAAUCUCCUCUUUCUGAGAGAAGGUGGACUAUGUGUGGCCUUGGGGGAAGAGUGCUGUUUUUAUGUCAACCACUCAGGGGUCAUUAGGAAUUCCAUGGCCAAGCUUAGGGAGAGGCUCAGCCUAUGGUAACGGGAGAAGGAGACCCAGCAGGGAUGGCUUGAGGGAUGGUUUAACAAGUCCCCAUGGAUGACCACCCUUGUCUCCACGAUCCUGGGACCACUGAUCAUCCUCCUGCUGCUAUUGACCUUUGGUCCCUGUAUCCUCAACAGGCUGCUUCCGUUUACCCGUGAAAGAUUGUCCAUCACGCAAGCCUUGGUACUCACCCAACAGUACCAGCAUUUAAGACCACCGAAAAGGAGGGAAUGAAAGAUCCCUCACUCAAAAACAAGCUAAGGGAAAGAGGAGGCAGGGUUUAGUUUCUAAACCAACAAGCACCCAGAUGUUCCUUGAGAUAAGAACAAACUCCAGGCAGGACAUCCUUCCAUUACUCUAGGAAGACAGAUGGCCCCCACUUCCCCAAACCCUCCCAAACUGGAAUUUCCCCCCCAAAAAGCACCAUAUGUGACCUUUUCUUUGUCCAAUCAAAAAUGGACUCAUGUCUUAUGAUAAUCUUGUAGUUUUUGCCUUUAAAAGGAGCUUGCUAUAGCAGAUCGGGGCUUCUUCUGCCUAGCCUGACUGAGGAACCCCUUUGUGCAAACGCAGAAUAAAAUCCUCUUGGCUUGUUGCA